rnacentral:SRP_RNA from 10 species
CUGUCAGCCUCGCGCCAGGCGCGAAAGAGAGCAGCGACGCUGCCGAGAGUGGCGGGGCUCUGGGUGUG